AUGAUCUCAAAAACCGAAUGGGCUAUUCCAAAGUAUACAUUUGGUAUUCUUUUUGGGAACAGAAAAAUCUCUCAAGAGAUGGAAGUGUCGACAAAUAUGAGCUAUCCUCUAGAAGAGUUGAUAUCAAUGUUGGAACUUCGUGUGUCAAAUAUCCCAGAGCUAGGCCACCCUCCCGUCGAUACAACGGAGGGCGGCGACGUUAGGUUUUGGUUAUGUCCUGAGCUGGGCGACACCACAUCUGGCCCAGCGCCGGUGAGCGAGUCGGGACCGAAAGCCGGUGGUUUCGCGGCUUUCUUGGACUUUGAUUUGGAUCCUCCUUGCACAAAAGUCCCUAGCACCACCUGCACAAUGCCAAACAGGAUUAGAAACUUUUAUGUUGUAUGUCUGAAUCUUAGCAAAUGA
rnacentral:rRNA from 1 species